CAUAAUAGAGUGAAAGAGCGUCGUAUCGUUCUGAACAGAUUUAUCGCAGUAGGAUAGGCAUGCGUAAGAUUAGUUAGUUGGUAAGGGUAACGGCUUACCAAGACGAUGAUCUUUAGGGGGGCGUGAGAGGGUGCACCGCCACACUGGUACUGAGACACGUCCCAGAGUCGUCCGCGAGACGGCAUUGAGGAAUAUUGGACAAUGUGUGGAAGCGUGAUCCAGCCAUCGCGAGUGUAGGAUGACGGCCUUAUGGGUUGUAAACUACUUUUAUCUGGGGAUAAACGUACUUGCGUGUAAGUAGCUGAAGGUACCAGAAGAAUAAGCACCGGCUAACUCCGUACCAGCAGCCGCGGUAAUUAGGAGGGGGCAAGCGUUAUCCGGAUUUAUUGGGUUUAAAGGGUCCGUAGGCGGAUUAAUCAGUCAGUGGUGAAAUCCGUUAGCUCAAUUAAGGACAUGCCAUUGAGCAUGUUAGUAGUGAGGGAGGGGGCAGUGGAAGGAAUGGGUAAUGUAUCGGAGAAAUAGUUAGAUAUAAGGCCGACCACCAAKUWGCGCAAGGCCWGRUCGCUMWGCCUCAACUGUACGGCUGCAUGGAMGARAGCGURGSRARCGARCUWKKAWUARAWACCMYKGYAGUCCACGCCGUAAACSAWGGAUACGUUGMUGUUGGAUUUUUGGAUUCAGUGGCUAASCGAACAGYWAUAAGUWUCCMACCUGGGGAGUACAUUCGCAAGAAUGAAACUCAAAUGAAUUGACGGGGGCCCGCACAAGCGGUGGAGCAUGUGGUUUAAUUCGAUGAUACGCGAGGAACCUUACCAAGGCUUAAAUGCAUAAUGACUUAUUUGGAAACAGAUAUUUCUUCGGACAGAAUGCAAGGUGCUGCAUGGCUGUCGUCAGCUCGUGCCUCGAGGUGUUAGGUUAAGUCCUGCAACGAGCGCAACCCCUAUCAUUAGUUGCCAGCGUUUAAAGACGGGGACUCUAAUGAGACUGCCGGUGCAAACCGCGAGGAAAGUGGGGACGACGAUCAAGUCAUCACGGCCCUUACGUCUUGAGCUACACACGUGCUACAAUGGUAAGUACAGAGGGCAGCUACUUAGCAAUAACAUGCGAAUCUCAAAAACUUAUCUCAGAUCUGAUUGCAGACUGCAACUCGACUCUAUGAAGCUGGAAUCGCUAGUAAUCGCAUAUCACCCAUGAUGCGGUGAAAUACGUUUCCCGGGCCUUGUACUCACCGCCCGUCAAGCCAUGAAAGC
rnacentral:rRNA from 1 species